rnacentral:rRNA from 1 species
AGAGCGUAUGGCGGAUGCCUAGGCACAGAGAGGCGAAGAAGGACGCAGCAAACAGCGAAAUGCGACGGUUAGCAGUAAGCAUGCAACGAUCCGUCGAUGUCCGAAUGGGGGAACCCACCUGGAGUAGAGACCAGGUAUCCUGAAGUGAAUAAAUAGCUUCAGAGAGGCGAGACUCAGGGAACUGAAACAUCUAAGUACCUGAAGGAAGAGAAAAUAAACGAAUGAUUCCCUAAGUAGCGGCGAGCGAAAGGGGAAGAGCCCAAACCGAUCUUAGGAUCGGGGUUGUAGGACUGUCGGCAAAGAGCAAGAAAUCAUUAUAGGCGAACGGAAUGGGAAGUCCGGCGAAACAGGGUGACAGCCCCGUAGCCGAAAUAGUGAAGAAGCACGAGACAGCACCUGAGUACGGCGGGACACGAGGAAUCCUGUCGGAAUCCACCAGGACCAUCUGGUAAGGCUAAAUACUCCUCUGUGACCGAUAGUGAACCAGUACCGUGAGGGAAAGGUGAAAAGAACCCCGGGAGGGGAGUGAAAUAGAACCUGAAACCAUAUGCUUACAAGAAGUUAGAGCCCGUUAAAGGGUGAUAGCGUGCCUUUUGUAGAAUGAACCGGCGAGUUACGAUAUGGAGCGAGGUUAAGCAGGAUAUGCGGAGCCGAAGCGAAAGCGAGUCUUAAUAGGGCGAAAGUUGCAUGUCGUAGACCCGAAACCGAGUGAUCUAGCCAUGACCAGGUUGAAGUUGGGGUAAAACCCGAUGGAGGACCGAACCGACCCCCGUUGAAACGUUGGCGGAUGAGUUGUGGCUAGGGGUGAAAUUCCAAUCGAACUCGGAGAUAGCUGGUUCUCCCCGAAAUAGCUUUAGGGCUAGCCUCAUGUUAGAUUUCCGGAGGUAAAGCACUGAAUGGCCUAGGGCCCGAGAGGGUACCGAAGCCUAUCAAACUCUGAAUGCCGGAAAAUUGAUGCAUGGGAGUCAGACUAUGUGAGAUAAGUCUCAUAGUCGAAAGGGAAACAGCCCAGAUCUACAGCUAAGGUCCCAAAGCAGGUUUAAGUGGAAAAGGAUGUGGAGUUGCGAAAACAGCCAGGAUGUUGGCUUAGAAGCAGCCACUCAUUUAAAGAGUGCGUAAUAGCUCACUGGUCGAGUGACUCUGCGCCGAAAAUUCAACGGGGCUAAAACCUGCACCGAAGCUUAGGCAUCCGCAAGGAUGGGUAGGGGAGCGUUGUGUACGAGGCGAAGCAUUAGCGAAAGCGGAUGUGGAUUGUACACAAGUGAGAAUGCCGGAAUAAGUAGCGCGAAUGAUGUGAGAAUCAUCAUGGCCGAAAGCCUCAGGUUUUUGGAGGAAGGUUCGUCCGCUCCAAGUUAGCCGGGAGCUAAGGUGAGGCCGAAAGGCGUAGCCGAUGCACAUACGGUAGAGAUUCCGUAGCCGCCGAAAGAUUUAAGCAGGGGGACACAUUUGAAGUGUUGGUGCCGGGUGUUGGUUUACCCGGUCGAAAGGGACUGAAAUUUAGUAGGGAAGUCCAGCAUGGAGAGUGGCGAGAAAAGCCCUGUGUAUAUCUAAGGCGCCCGUACCGCAAACCGACACAGGUAGGUAGGAAGAAGAUUCUAAGGCCAACGGGAGAAGGGUUGUUAAGGAACUCGGCAAGUUGACCCCGUAACUUCGGGAGAAGGGGUGCUCAUGAAAGUGAGCCGCAGAGAAUAGGCCCAAGCAACUGUUUAGCAAAAACACAGGUCUGUGCUAAAUCGAAAGAUGACGUAUACGGGCUGACACCUGCCCGGUGCUGGAAGGUUAAGGGGAUGUGUGCAAGCACUGAACCGAAGCCCCAGUAAACGGCGGCCGUAACUAUAACGGUCCUAAGGUAGCGAAAUUCCUUGUCAGGUAAGUUCUGACCCGCACGAAAGGCGUAACGAUUUGGGCGCUGUCUCAGCUGUAGACUCGGUGAAGUCUUAGUACCUGUGAAGAUGCAGGUUACCCGCGACUAGACGGAAAGACCCCAUGGAGCUUUACUGUAGCUUGAUAUUGGACUUUGAUGCAAGAUGUACAGGAUAGGUAGGAGACUGAGAGACAUGCACGCCAGUGUGUGAGGAGUCAAUGUUGGGAUACUACUCUUCUUGUAUUGGAGUUCUAACCGGAUGCCAUGGAACUGGCAACGGGACAGUGUCAGGUGGGCAGUUUGACUGGGGCGGUCGCCUCCCAAAGAGUAACGGAGGCGCCCAAAGAUACCCUCAGCUUGGAUGGAAAUCAAGCGCAGAGUGCAAAGGCAUAAGGGUGUUUGACUGCGAGACCUACAAGUCGAGCAGGGACGAAAGUCGGGCUUAGUGAUCCGGCGGUGCUGAAUGGAAAGGCCGUCGCUCAACGGAUAAAAGCUACCCUGGGGAUAACAGGCUGAUCUCCCCCAAGAGUCCACAUCGACGGGGAGGUUUGGCACCUCGAUGUCGGCUCGUCGCAUCCUGGGGCUGAAGUAGGUCCCAAGGGUUGGGCUGUUCGCCCAUUAAAGCGGUACGCGAGCUGGGUUCAGAACGUCGUGAGACAGUUCGGUCCCUAUCUGUCGUGGGCGCAGGAUAUUUG